GCGGGGUUAGCUCAGCCGGGAGAGCGUUAGGCUGAAGUCAAAUUUCAACCUGAAGGUCGUGUGUUCGAUCCACACACACUGCA